rnacentral:siRNA from 1 species
GUGAGCAUGCCUGUCGGGAC